AUAUUUUAUAGUAGAUAUACAGAAUAUUUUCUUUAUCUUUUGCCUUUUGUAGCUUUUUACUUAUAAUUAGAUCUAAAUUUAUUGGUACUUUUCUACAACCAUAUUACAUUAAGAUAUUGGAAAUAAAAAAUUAUAGAUCUUUUCACGCAUGAACAUCAAGUUAAUCAAAGACAAAACGUUGAUAUUGGGUCAAUAGUACUUCGGCGUGAUACUUAGUGCGCUGUAUUCGGUUUUUUUUUCAAUUUAUUUCUUAAAUAUCUUCAUCAUUUCAAAUGUACAAGCGUUUCGGUUAUGUGUUUUUAGCCAUCUUCGGUGUUAAAAAUUCAAUUAGAACAUACAUACAUGUUUGUUAAUUUAUCGGUGAUCCUAAUGGUAAGUCACCAGUGAGAUAUAAUGUAAUUCUACUCAUGUCAGUUGGAUUACCGUUUGGAAAUUCUCACCAUGAAUCCUUUGUUAAGUGAAUUUUUUAUAUAUAGUAUGUUAAAAAUCUUAUUUUAUAUUUAAUCAGUUUAUCUUACCAUAAGAAUCACCAGCAAUUGGUUAUUCGAAAGUAAUGGAUCAACUUGAAUGUCAUCGUGAUGUUUUUUUAUUCAAAAAAUAUCAGAAUUGUUAGCAACUACCAAAUCGUAAAUUAAAAUUGUCAUAAAGAAGUGUAUAUAAGAUGUCAAAUUCCACUUUGUGUAAAACUCUUAUAGAACUUUAAAUAAAUUGGUUGAUUUAAAACUUGGAAUAUACUAAUCAAUACUAAUAAUAUAAUAAUAAUCGAUACGUUGUUAUUCGAAACGUUAUACGUCUAUAGUAGUAUACUCCUCGGAUUACACUGCUCUCGUCUCUGUUUUGAUCUUAUUUUCAUGUGAAUUGUCAUGUUUAACUAUGUCUUGUGAACCUGUUUUGUUGAUUAUUUCAUUGUAACUAUGAUCUAAGUAUUCCGUGUCGGUUUGAUAAUUAAGUUUGUUAUUUAAUUUUUUAAUAUGUAUCAUUUCUGAUAAUAGUCUUUUGUUGAGGUUUCUUUCUCCAAAAUCUCAAUAUCACUCCACUCAAAAUCAUGAUUGUAAUGCAUCCUAUCGUCUGUGAUAAUCGAAUGUAUAGUUGUAUUACGUUUUAUUUGAUUCUUGUGUUCAUUAAUUCGGGUCUUUAACUGUCUAUUUAAUAGUAAUAUAUCUAAAACAUUAAAUUCUUUUUUUAAUUUAAAUGUUCGUUAAUUGCACUAAAUUAUGCAAAAAAAAUAUAAAACGUACACAUUCCUUGCAAUAAAAGUAAUAAAAAAAUUAAAUUAUAUUAACUUAGAGCAUAUGCACACGCCGCAUAGGUAAAUAAAUUAUUUAUACAUAUUUAACGCGUCAAAUAAAUCAUUUAAAAGAGGAAAAAAUUAAUUAGAGCGUUUAUUUGAGAAGAUAUAAGAAAAUAGUUUAGCUCAUUAAUCUUGUCUCGUCAAGAUAGCUCAGUUUUAAAAAAAAUCGUCUUUCUAGGAUGCCUAGUUCCAAAGAUGUCGACGAUUGAAGUAAUUUAAACGCGCCAGAUUCAUUUUGUACGCGCGCGCCUGACCGUGCAUUAGCUGACGACGCGCGCGUGCGCGGCCCCGUUGACCACCGCUCUCGGUUAGACGACAAUUUCCCGAAAAAUGGUGGGGUUAAUGUUGGUACUAACAAAAUUCCCUAAAUGAUACUAUUUUGAUUUCUAUAGAUUAGCAACACUGUUCAAGUAGUAAGUCUGUAGUUUACAUCAUACAUUUGACAUAUUGUGACAUGUAAUAAAAUAAUAAAUAUUGUAUAAUUAUAAAACAUUGAAAUGAUUUUGGCUUGUCUCACUCGAUAUAUGAAUAUCAUUCAAGAUCAUGACAUAUACAGUUCUUCCCACUAGAAUUAAUGUAAUAAAAUUACCAUCAUUGCAAUAAACAAAUAUGUAUAUCAGAUAAGUAUAAGCUAAUUUUACAUAAAAUAGAGAAUACAAUAUCUAUGUGCUGUUUGUAAUUGCAGAUGUUGUUGAACCGAUUCUUUCUUGUUAUUAAUAUUUUUUCAGCUGACCAGUUAUCUACGUACUUGCAAAAUAUUAAUAAGAAUUGAGAUCCGAUUCUUAAAGGAGACAACUGUAGCAAAAUAAAAAAUAAAAAACAUUUUGUGAAUGAAAGACGGAAGAACCAUAUAUGAGAAGUCAAGGAAUUGCAAGAAAAAUCUUCCAUACAAGACAAGGAAAGUAAAAGAAGAAUAGGAAGAACAUUUUUAUCAAUUUAUUUCUUUUCCUAUCCAUUCUGACAAUUCAUGUAGGAUUAAUAGAAUAUCUAAAUCUUCAUUGUUAUUAAUUUUUUGCCAAAUAUUUUGCAAAUUUUGCUCUUUUUUCUUUAAAAUAUUGCUUUUGUGUCUUGUCCAAAAUGUUGGUUGUUUUAGCAUGCUAUGGAUGCUUUUUUGAUGUUCUGAUAAAUUUGCUGUAAAUAAUAUAGAAUUGUUAAAAUAGUAAAAAUAUUCUGGGAGUAAUUGCAAUAAAGUGUUUAUAAUAUACCU
rnacentral:lncRNA from 1 species